AGUCAUAACUAGGGGAGCCCAAUGAGCUGGGCUGAGAAGGAAACGCUUUGAAGUUUCCUGACUCUUCGGACCUGAUCUGGAUCAUGCCAGCGUAGGGAAGUUAGAAUAAUCACCA
rnacentral:ncRNA from 1 species